rnacentral:lncRNA from 1 species
CAGCAAGUUAAUGUCAGCAGUGUGGAGAACUUCCUGGUAAAUGUACCACGUGUCUGAUACAGCAAGUUAAUGUCAGCAGUGUGGAGUACUUCCUGGUAAAUGUACCACGUGUCUAAUACAGCAAGUUAAUGU